GAGGCCUAUGAUGAUCAAUAUAUUGCCUACAUUGCUUGAUUCAGUUGUAUGAUAAGAACAUCCUUUUAUUCUGAGGCCUUC